rnacentral:rRNA from 1 species
AGAGUUUGAUCAUGGCUCAGGAUGAACGCCGGCGGUGUGCCUAAUACAUGCAAGUCGAACGCGUUGGCCCAACUGAUUGAACGUGCUUGCACGGACUUGACGUUGGUUUACCAGCGAGUGGCGGACGGGUGAGUAACACGUAGGUAACCUGCCCCAAAGCGGGGGAUAACAUUUGGAAACAGAUGCUAAUACCGCAUAACAAUUUGAAUCGCAGGAUUCAAAUUUAAAAGAUGGCUUCGGCUAUCACUUUGGGAUGGACCUGCGGCGCAUUAGCCUGUUGGUAGGGUAACGGCCUACCAAGGCUGUGAUGCGUAGCCGAGUUGAGAGACUGAUCGGCCACAAUGGAACUGAGACACGGUCCAUACUCCUACGGGAGGCAGCAGUAGGGAAUCUUCCACAAUGGGCGCAAGCCUGAUGGAGCAACACCGCGUGAGUGAAGAAGGGUUUCGGCUCGUAAAGCUCUGUUGUUAGAGAAGAACGUGCGUGAGAGCAACUGUUCACGCAGUGACGGUAUCUAACCAGAAAGUCACGGCUAACUACGUGCCAGCAGCCGCGGUAAUACGUAGGUGGCAAGCGUUAUCCGGAUUUAUUGGGCGUAAAGCGAGCGCAGGCGGUUUGAUAAGUCUGAUGUGAAAGCCUUUGGCUUAACCAAAGAAGUGCAUCGGAAACUGUCAGACUUGAGUGCAGAAGAGGACAGUGGAACUCCAUGUGUAGCGGUGGAAUGCGUAGAUAUAUGGAAGAACACCAGUGGCGAAGGCGGCUGUCUGGUCUGCAACUGACGCUGAGGCUCGAAAGCAUGGGUAGCGAACAGGAUUAGAUACCCUGGUAGUCCAUGCCGUAAACGAUGAGUGCUAGGUGUUGGAGGGUUUCCGCCCUUCAGUGCCGCAGCU